UGGGCCCUUUUGGCUAGGUCGGGGAGGAACUUUUUUUUUAAGUGUCCGUGGAGGAAUCGUCCCGUUUAGCAAUGCCUGGGUGACGCGACACAAGGCUAUAAAAGCAAAAGUUGUACCCGUCACCUGUAGGAGUUAGUGACAAGGAGGGCUCACACUUGGGGCUAGUGGUGGGGAGGCAGUGGCCAGUUCAGGGCUCAGAUGAGAGGGAGGUGGCAGUUAGAGGCAGCCACUAGGAUGGGGGUUCGAGGAGGAGCAGGGCUAACUAUAAAGGAGACUAGGUUUUGGGACAGUGGCCAUGUGGAAGGCAGCUACCAAUCUGCCUUUAACAACCCAUACAGGGCCAGCAGCCUUCAAGACCAGGCUACCCCAGCGGUCUGCUGGCAUGGGGGCAGUUGACUUGGAGGAGGGCACAAGUUUCACAGGCCUACAUAGGGCCAGUGUCCUAGCUUGAGUGGCAGAGCAGUUGGUGGAGACUGGUGGAAUGGGGCCCUUGAGGCCCCGGGAGAUCGUAGACAGACAGGUGGCGGCGGGCGGGGCAAGACUAGGUGCACAGUGGAGGUCGCUUUGAACUUGACAAUACCAGCAGACCCCCUUUUUUUUUCAGAUAAGGGGUUGUGAGCCCACCUGGGGAUGAGGCCUGGUCUUAUCCAGGAAAGUGGACUUAGCUUCGCCGGGCAGACAUCUGGCCCAGGGUGAUGGCAGUGCCCUCUCUGGACUUUGCCUAGGUUCCAUGCUUCCUCUUCUGUGGUCUCACUCUUCCCUACUCUUCCCCCUCACUCUGAGGUGAAGGGGUCACUUAAAACCUUGCCUCUGGGUCAUCUGGUAAGCCUGGGGAAGAUGUGGCGUCGGUGCCAGAGUCUUGGGCCUUGCAGUUUGGUAUUACUGGUAAAAGCGGAGGACACCCUGACUGGGCGGGGAGGGGUGGUGUUGAUUCACAGAGGGUGGGACGUGAAUGUGGACCCUUGGGUGGGCUCACAGCCGAGGUUCCAGUCACCCAAAUGCUUCAUGGACAUGGUUUAUUACUAUAGUGUUCACCAUGGCACGCAGAUGGCACCAGGAGAAAUGGAGCCCCUGCCAGUGUGAGUCGUAGCAGUGCAGGAGGGCACACCCUGGAGGAGACAGCAGCUUAAGUUGAUGCCUGCACAGUGAAUUCCCGAGGCUUAGGAAACGCUGCACUGCCGUGUGUCCAGGUCUUUCUCAGGAAGCCCUGUGCUCAGGAGGCCCGUCGUUUUAAGUCAGCUUGUAGGGGGUGGGGGGUGAGUAGGUGCUUCCAGCUGGAGGGGCCGUCGGCGACACAGGUCUUGUUCUGGGAGCAUCGUUCUUUCCCGGAUUCAUGAAUGCCACCGGGCGCCCCUCUCCCUGGGGGUAGAGGCGGUAAGCUGCUGCAUCUUCCAAACAAGCCUGUGGCCUUUCUAGUUCUGUACUGCGAACUUGGCCUCGAGAAGAUUGCCUAAGGUGUAGGACACUUUAAACUUCAGCACAGCAUGAUGCCUUGUAGAUCCGGGAGCCCUGUGACCUCGCCCAGCUUCUGCAGCCUGCCUGCCUCUGCAUUGGUCAGAGGAAUUCUUAACUGAGAACUUUUGGGUGUUGGGGAAAGCUGUUGGGUUUUAAACGACUGGUGUGGGAAAGACUUAGAUGGAGCUGGUUGUUAAAUGGGUGAGAUUUGUGUUUUAAAAGUGUGGGAAGGGCCGGGCUGUGGUGGUGUAUGCCUUUAAUCCCAGCACUUGGGAGGCAGAGGCAAGCGGAUUUCUGAGUUCGAGGCCAGCCUGGUCUACUGAGUGAGUUCCAGGACAGCCAGGGCUAUACAGAGAAACCCUGUCUCAAAAACAACAACAAAAAAGUGUGGGAAGGUGCAAGUUAGCCACAAAUUCUGUUGGGUUGGUAGAUGGCAUAUCUAAUUUGGGCUCUGGGAUGUCUGAACUAAGAGGGAAUGGUGGGCCUGCAGUGAGUGGUCCAUGGGAGUUUCUCCAUGGGUUUGGAUUUGGUACUGGGUGGUAGGCAAGCCCUACCCUGCUGAGUGGCAACAGUGGUCUGGUCUCUUAUUCAUUAGCUUAUAUGACUUUGGGGUCUGGCUGUGUAUACCAGGCUGGCCUGGAUUUUCAGCCCUGCUAGGAUGACAAGUGUCCUCUAAAACAUGGCCUUCCAAGGUGAAACUCGUUAUUGGAUCAAGCUUGGGAAUACUUUUGACACCAGAUGUGGGACUUGGGGCUAGCAGGACUUGGCUUGGCACUGGUGGAUUGGUGGAUUAAAGGAGUUGGGGUGCCAGUAAGGGAUGUGCUUGGGAAUGUGGGUUUGUGAGAGUAACAGUUUGGGAACUAAAUAGCUCACAAGAAAAUCUAAAGGUGAUGGCAAAUCCUUAAUGUAGGUGACUGUUGAGAUGCAGAGACGGUUGGAAAAUACCAAAAUCCAACAAGGGGAAGUUGGUUGGAAAAUACCAAAAUCCAACAAGGGGAAGUUGGUUGGAAAAUACCAAAAUCCAACAAGGGGGAAAAGCAAAAUUGUUUUGCUUCACUGUUGAAUGUGGAAGGGUGACGUGGAAAGCUUUUCUUAGUUGCUGUGUAGGUUAUUACCCUGUCAUUACCCUGACCCAGGCCAUCCUGUGGGCGUGUGGUGAGCCUGAAACUGAUUUCCAAGAAGUAAAACUGGGGAGGGGCUUGUAAAUGCCUACACUGAAGCUCUCAGGCCAUUAGUAGCAGGCUGGCAGACUGCUGGGUCUCUUGAAAUUCCAUCAUACUGUGAUUAAGAAUUCCAAUGCUGUUAUCUAAAGGGAUUGAGUAUGGGAGUCAUGCCUUACACAACACGUACAGGAAUUUAAUGUGUGAGCCAUGCCUUCCAAGCACAUCUUGAAUUUCUGGAAUUGGCCAGAAGACAACAGAGUUUGCGUAUUUAACCUUUCAAAUCAGUCAUUGUGACAAGGGGACGAGGUCUUGGGAUUGCUAUGAGAUCAUUGUGAUCUUUGGUAGAAAACCUCAUCCGUGUACUUUGCCAAGGUUGCACUGAAUACAUACAGUGGGUUUGGCUUGAAUGGCACUUUAAAGCCAUCCCUGAUCAGGGGGGAAGCUGUUAGCUGUCAGUCAAAGCAGUCUGGGAAAUAAAAGUGAAACUGGGGUACCGGGGAACAUCUUAUAAAUAGGUAACUCUGUAAAAAUUGGCUCUGAAAACAGUUUAUUCGUGUAUUUGUGAAAACCUUGUAUAUGUGUUUUUGUGAGUGUGCUUAAAAGUGGUGUUACCCUGGUAUGGUCACUCACUGGAACAGUAGUGUGUGCUGGUCACGUUGGAAUGGGGAAAUGUGAAGAAAGCUGUAACUGCAGGUCCGCCACACCCACUUCUUUGUACUAAAGUGUUAAGUGUACAAACCCACUAAUCAUUUUUCUCCCCUUUACAGCAAAAUAAAGGUUUGAGAUUGAAGUUCCUUA